rnacentral:rRNA from 1 species
AGAGUUUGAUCCUGGCUCAGGACGAACGCUGGCGGCGUGCUUAACACAUGCAAGUCGAACGAUGAAGGGGAGCUUGCUCCUUGGAUUAGUGGCGAACGGGUGAGUAACACGUGAGUAACCUGCCCUGGACUCUGGGAUAACCCCGAGAAAUCGGAGCUAAUACCGGAUAGGACCUGGAACCGCAUGGUUUUGGGUGGAAAGUUUUUCGGUCUGGGAUGGACUCGCGGCCUAUCAGCUUGUUGGUGAGGUAAUGGCUCACCAAGGCGUCGACGGGUAGCCGGCCUGAGAGGGUGACCGGCCACACUGGGACUGAGACACGGCCCAGACUCCUACGGGAGGCAGCAGUGGGGAAUAUUGCACAAUGGGCGCAAGCCUGAUGCAGCAACGCCGCGUGAGGGAUGACGGCCUUCGGGUUGUAAACCUCUUUUAGUAGGGAAGAAGGGCUUCGGCUUGACGGUACCUGCAGAAAAAGCACCGGCUAACUACGUGCCAGCAGCCGCGGUAAUACGUAGGGUGCGAGCGUUGUCCGGAAUUAUUGGGCGUAAAGAGCUCGUAGGCGGUUUGUCACGUCUGCUGUGAAAUCCCGAGGCUCAACCUCGGGCCUGCAGUGGGUACGGGCAGACUGGAGUGCGGUAGGGGAGAAUGGAAUUCCUGGUGUAGCGGUGGAAUGCGCAGAUAUCAGGAGGAACACCGAUGGCGAAGGCAGUUCUCUGGGCCGUAACUGACGCUGAGGAGCGAAAGCGUGGGGAGCGAACAGGAUUAGAUACCCUGGUAGUCCACGCCGUAAACGUUGGGCGCUAGAUGUGGGGACCUUUCCACGGUUUCCGUGUCGUAGCUAACGCAUUAAGCGCCCCGCCUGGGGAGUACGGCCGCAAGGCUAAAACUCAAAGGAAUUGACGG